rnacentral:rRNA from 1 species
UCGGGAAUUUUGGGCAAUGGGCGAAAGCCUGACCCAGCAACGCCGCGUGAAGGAUGAAGUAUUUCGGUAUGUAAACUUCGAAAGAAUAGGAAGAAUAAAUGACGGUACUAUUUAUAAGGUCCGGCUAACUACGUGCCAGCAGCCGCGGUAAUACGUAGGGACCAAGCGUUGUUCGGAUUUACUGGGCGUAAAGGGCGCGUAGGCGGCAUGACAAGUCACUUGUGAAAUCUCUGGGCUUAACCCAGAACGGCCAAGUGAUACUGUCGCGCUAGAGUGCAGAAGGGGCAAUCGGAAUUCUUGGUGUAGCGGUGAAAUGCGUAGAUAUCAAGAGGAACACCUGAGGUGAAGACGGGUUGCUGGGCUGACACUGACGCUGAGGCGCGAAAGCUAGGGGAGCAAACGGGGAUUAGAUACCCAAGUAGUCCCUGAGCGGGCUGGCAAGGCGCAU